UCACCAGCAACCAUAAAUGCAACCGUCGUCGGUCCUACACUGGACAACUCCACGCACUGCGUCAUAACAUUUUUCUACGCAAUGCAAGGAACAAGCCAGCCAAAGCUCACGCUCGCCUAUCGCACAACCUAUAACGGACCCUGGAUGACUCUAUGGAUGGAGGAAAAGCCAAGUGAAUUUUUUCACUUUCUCGAGAUCAGCGUAACAUUCCCGAGGACAGCUCCUUACCAGGUUGCCUUCAUAGGAGAACACACGGUACCUGACAAGCAAGGUUAUAUAGCCAUUGACGAUGUCCACUUUUGGCAGAGCUGCAAGACCAGAAUCG